rnacentral:rRNA from 1 species
CUACGGGUCGCAGCAGUGGGGAAUAUUGCACAAUGGGCGCAAGCCUGAUGCAGCCAUGCCGCGUGUAUGAAGAAGGCCUUCGGGUUGUAAAGUACUUUCAGCGGGGAGGAAGGGAGUAAAGUUAAUACCUUUGCUCAUUGACGUUACCCGCAGAAGAAGCACCGGCUAACUCCGUGCCAGCAGCCGCGGUAAUACGGAGGGUGCAAUGCGUUAAUCGGAAUUACUGGGCGUAAAGCGCACGCAGGCGGGUUGUUAAGUCAGAUGUGAAAUCCCCGGGCUCAACCUGGGAACUGCAUCUGAUACUGGCAAGCUUGAGUCUCGUAGAGGGGGGUAGAAUUCCAGGUGUAGCGGUGAUAUGCGUAGAGAUCUGGAGGAAUACCGGUGGCGAAGGCGGCCCCCUGGACGAAGACUGACGCUCAGGUGCGAAAGCGUGGGGAGCAAACAGGAUUAGAUACCCGUGUAGUC